rnacentral:rRNA from 1 species
UUUCCUACGGGAGGCAGCAGUAAGGGAUAUUGGUCAAUGGGGGAAACCCUGAACCAGCAACGCCGCGUGAGGGAAGACGGUUUUCGGAUUGUAAACCUCUGUCCUCUGUGAAGAUGAUGACGGUAGCAGAGGAGGAAGCUCCGGCUAACUACGUGCCAGCAGCCGCGGUAAUACGUAGGGAGCGAGCGUUAAUCGGAAUUACUGGGCGUAAAGCGCUCGUAGGCGGUAUGUCAAGUCAAGGGUGAAAUCCCCGCGCUCAACGUGGGAACUGCCUUUGAAACUGGCAAACUGGAGUGUGUGAGAGG